GCCCCUUAUAUAUGCCAAAUGUUGCUUCCCUAAAAUUCAUCUCUGUCCUUGGCAUUUUAAGAAAAAAUUGUUGUGGGGUAUUACUGCAUGUUUUUAAAUUUAACACCUUUGAAUUACUGAUAAAAGCUGAGGCUGAAAUAUCUAACAAAAUAAUUAUGUCCUUACCUGAUUUGUCAAUCACUUCUUUUCUCAUAAGUUUUCUGUGAGAGGUUGCAUCCUCCUAAGGAUCCAGAGCUCAUCUGAAUGCAUAACCAUUCUACCAUUUUUCAUUCCAUUUUUAUGUGGAUAAAGUUCCUGUGUACCAAAGUAAGUUACAAAUCCAUCGACAAGCAUAUGCAGCUGCUUCUACAGAACAAAAAAAGCAGGUAUUCAGCACUGUGAAUUUAAAGUAGCUAUCACCUUGAGUUUAUUAAGGACAAAUCUACAGGGGGCAUUUGUCCUAAUGGCUUGAUGUGGAAUCUAUUCCAUACAUAGAAGUUAAAAAGCUUAAUUGGGCAAACUGAAAGCUUGAUCUUUGACUCUAGACAACUUGAGUGCAAGUAAUGGCUAUUCAGAGGUUAAUUUUCUCCAUCUCAUAGGCAAAGAGGCUUUUCUGUCUAUGUUGUCUCCUUUAGAUGCAGAAUGUGAGCUCUCUAUACAGGAUGGCAGUUUAUAUUUUUUGAAACCAUUCCAGCGGCCUGCCUGCAUCAGUAUGUAUGGGGCAGUGGUUCCUAAGUUAUUAAAAACCAGAUUCUCUCAUUUGCAAUUAUCGUUACAAAAAGGCAUCAAUGCUAAUGAGCCAAAGAGCUUUGGAGUGUAAUGAGUAUGUCACUCAAUGGAUUAUAAUGCACUUACGGCAGCCUGACUACUCCACUCUCAGUAACGCAAAGCAUAACACACAUCAGCCAAGGAUUAUUUCCUCCCCAGCUCUGAAAUAACUUCCCACUUUGACAAAGUAGAGAUAAAUGCAGAUUGUGCUCAAGGCCUGCAAAUCCUACAGGCAGGGGAUUGUCCGUACCACGAGGCAACCCUAGGCAGUUAUGCAGAGACACACUUUUUUAGAGAGAGAGAGAGAGAGCAGUGUUUUUGUUGUUGCCAAUGCACGCGACAGAACAGACAGGGCAGGAGAAGGAAAGAUGCUACCGGGCUAGUGGUAGGAGACAAGUAAAAAAUUAGGUAACAGACACUGAGGCUGUUACCAGCUUAAAAUGCAGCCAGGUUGAUGUUUUUAUGAAUUCAGAUCAAAUCAGGUUCAGGGAACAAACGCAUAAGAAAUGGCAGGAUAGAAAUGGGAUAGAUGCGGAUUGUGGCUAACGUCGUAUGCACACUACUUUUCAAACCAGAGGUGGCAGCGCACUAUGUGAAGAGUAAAUGGGAGUGAGAGAGGGGUUCAUUGUGUUGUGGGCUGCAGUCAGCUUCACCACCCACUACAUCUCUCAGACGUAGGAUUGCCAGAGUUCCGGGUCUGACCUGAAGUCUACAGGUUUUUCCUGGCCUCCUCCAGAUGGCAGGUGGAAGGCUUGAACGUCCAGGAGCGUGGGAAGGACAAUAAACAACAACAACAACAACAACAAUAAUAAUAUUAAUAAUAAUAAUGUGACUGUACAUGCAGCUCGCAAGCCGUAGAAACUACUGUGUCAGCUUUGACAAUAAAGAGUUAACUAUCUGCCAUGUCCAUUCCUUUGGCUGGGAGGCAGUGCCUUGAUAAUGGACCACUUGAGAACCAAUGAAGCUCUUGAAGGACCACUUAGUGAUUUUUCUGCCUCUUAUAGCAAUUACAAUGCGCUAGAUG
rnacentral:lncRNA from 1 species